GAUGAACGCUAGCGGCAGGCUUAACACAUGCAAGUCGAGGGGUAGAGGAAGCUUGCUUCCUUGAGACCGGCGCACGGUGCGUAACGCGUAUGCAAUCUACCUUAUACAGGGGGAUAGCCCAGAGAAAUUUGGAUUAAUACCCCAUAGUAUAAUUGAAUGGCAUCAUUUAAUUAUUGAAAUUCCAACGGUAUAAGAUGAGCAUGCGUCCCAUUAGCUAGUCGGUGUGGUAACGGCACACCAAGGCGACGAUGGGUAGGGGUCCUGAGAGGGAGAUCCCCCACACUGGUACUGAGACACGGACCAGACUCCUACGGGAGGCAGCAGUGAGGAAUAUUGGUCAAUGGGCGCAAGCCUGAACCAGCCAUGCCGCGUGCAGGAUGACGGUCCUAUGGAUUGUAAACUGCUUUUGUACAGGAAGAAACACUCCCUCGUGAGGGAGCUUGACGGUACUGUAAGAAUAAGGAUCGGCUAACUCCGUGCCAGCAGCCGCGGUAAUC
rnacentral:rRNA from 1 species